rnacentral:tRNA from 1 species
AGUUAUUCACUAGGACGUAUAUUUUGCCUUGAAACCAAAAUAAAAGUGUUCGAAUCACUUAAUAACUU